UGUUCACUUGCAUAGAUUUUGUUGCACUUUGGUUCGAUCAUACCGCUUCCGCUCGCCACCUGCUGCCCUAAAAAUAAUUUUGUUUUUUUUUUCCAGAGUUGCCGAGUCCGAGUUCUGCAGCUUUCGACGAUGGCGGAGCAUGUCGCCAGUGGAGAAGAUGACGAGUCCAAAAUGGAGGAGGGCAUGGAGAGUAGUGUAUUGAGCCGGAAGGAGAAAAGGAAGGCGGCAAAGAAGCAGAAGAGGAAGCAGAUGAGGAGGCAGGCGGCGGCGGAGGAGCGCGAAGAGGAGGAGGCACGGAUGAACAACCCCGAAGAACAGAUGAGAAUGAGAUUGAUGGAGGAGGAAGAAGCCGAGAGGGCUGAGAGAGCUCGGAAGGAGUUCGAGGAGAGAGAGAGGCUGUGGAUUGAGGCCAUGGAAAAGAAGAUGAAGGAGGCGGAGGAGGAAGAGCAAAGGAAGGAGCUAGAAGAAUCGGAGCGAAAGAAGGUUGAAAAUGAUAACGAGUUUAUUGAAGACGAUGAUUGCGAAUACAUAGAAGAAGGGCCUGCAGAAAUUAUUUGGCAAGGAAACGAGAUAAUUGUCAAGAAGAAAAGGGUCAAGGUUGCGAAGAAAGCUGCGGAGCAACAAAUUAGAAAAGAGGAUACUGAUAGACCUACGUCAAAUCCUCUCCCUCCCCAAUCGGAAGCUUUUACUGAUUACAGGAAUGCUUCAAUAGUUUCAGCACAGCAGGUUUUUGAUGAUGUUGCCCAACAAAUCCCAAACUUUGGGACUGAACAGGAUAAAGCUCACUGUCCCUUCCAUUUCAAAACUGGAGCUUGUCGGUUCGGGCAGCGUUGCAGCAGAGUCCAUUUUUACCCUGACAAGUCGUGCACAUUGCUUAUUAAGAACAUGUACAAUGGACCUGGCCUUGCUUGGGAGCAAGAUGAGGGGCUUGAGUAUACUGAUGAAGAAGUUGAACACUGUUAUGAAGAGUUUUAUGAGGAUGUGCAUACAGAAUUCUUGAAGUUUGGGGAAAUUGUGAAUUUUAAGGUGUGCAAAAAUGGUUCAUUCCAUUUGCGGGGAAAUGUAUAUGUGCAUUACAAGUCUUUGGAUGAUGCAGUGCUGGCGUGUCAUUCCAUAAACGGCCGCUAUUUUGCAGGAAAACAGGUAAAAUGUGAGUUUGUUAGUGUGACAAGAUGGAAAGUUGCCAUAUGUGGGGAGUAUAUGAAGUCAAGGCUGAAGACAUGCUCGCAUGGAACGGCAUGCAAUUUUAUCCAUUGUUUUCGUAACCCUGGUGGGGACUAUGAAUGGGCUGAUUGGGAUAAACCUCCCCCAAAAUAUUGGGUGAAAAAGAUUGCUGCUUUAUUUGGUUUUUCUGAUGAUACUGGCUAUGACAAACAGAUGGAACAAGAAAGUUUGGGGCGGCCGAGGAGUUCUUGCAGAAGAGUAACAGCAGAUGCAGAAGACAGUAGGUACCGUGUAAGAAGAUCUAGAUCCAAGGAUAUGGAUCACUUGAAUAGGGGUACUGAUAGAAGCCUUCGUGAUGAGAAUGAUGUACAGAAAAGCAAAGAGAGGAGAAGAAGUGACGGUAGAAAGCGAAAAUGUGAAGAGAGAAUGAUAUUUGAAGAUAGUCAGUGCAGAAGGAGCAGGACUCAUGAAACCGACUCCGAUGGGGAUUGGUCAGAUAGGGAUGGGGACACAGAUGGACACAAUAAUUAUAUAAGAAGAAGCUCAAAACAGCAGAAUGCCGGUUUGGCACUACUGGAUGACCAUGGAGACAGCCGGAACAGAGCUCUCGAAACAGAUUCUGACAUAGAUUGGUUGGACAAGGACAAGGGUGGAGACAAACUUCCCGGUCACUUAAGUCAAAGUUCAAGACAUAGGAAAACCGUAUUGGAAUCCUCAGAUGUUCUUUGGGACUGCAACAUGGCAACUCAUGAAACUGAUUCAUAUGGAGACUGCUUGGAUGGGGACAGGGACAGACAAAGUGGUCGCAGAAGGAAAAGUUCUAGACAUAUAACAUUGGAAGUAUCGAAUGAUCAUGGAGACAGCAAGAGCAGCACUCAUGAAAGCGAUUCUUUUUGGUCAGACAGAGGCAGAGACAGAGAAAAAGGCAAUGAUAGACACAGACAGAAAAAUAGGCACAGAGGCCAUGCAAGAAAAACCUCAAGACAUCAAAGCAAAUUUCCAGAUGAUCCUUGUGAUGGUAGGAAUAGAGCUUAUGAUACUAAUUCUGAUGCAUAUUGGUCAGAUAGGGACAGGGAUGGGGAAGGACACCGUGGUCACAAAAGGGACAGCUCAAAAAACCAGAAUAAACUCAACAAUCAUGAUAAAAGGAAGAAUAAAAGACAUUAUAUUGAUUUUAUUGAUGAUUCAUCGGACAGGGAGAGGGACAGGGAUGGGGACAGAGACGGAGGAAGACAUCUGAGUAAGAGAAGGAAACAUGCACGUAAGUUGAUCUCGGAUGAUGAUGAAAAAAAAAAACUACAUGAUUAAGGUUUGACAUGGCUAACGAGUGCCUUUGAGCUGGGUGUGUUCGUGAGUAGAGAUUUGACAUGGAUGAUUUGUUGCUUGUAUCAUUCACAAGUUGCUCACCUUAAGUAAUUGAAAAUUGCAAAUCAUAUUUCUUUUUUUCGACCUUUCCCAACCACUGUUGACCAUCUCUCACCUUUAUUGUUCAAAUCUCGCAAGAUCAUAAACCAGGACCAGCACAAUUAACUAAUCUUGCCUCUCCCUCUCUCUCUCUCUCUUAAAUUCCAAGCCCUAACUACGGUUGCAUCUUCUUGACCUCUCCGACUGACAGCAACCUGAGAGCUGGUACUAUGGUGAGUCAUAACCUGAGAGCUGCUACUAUGGUGAGUCUUUCUCUCUCUCUCUCUCUCUCUCUUUGAAAUGAUCGAGAAGAGGGCCUUGAUCUGUUGCAAUUUUCUGCUUCUAUUUUUUAGAUGCAAUUUAGGCCUUUGAUAUGUUGUUUCCUUUUUUUUUGGGGGUAGGAGGGGGAGGAGAUUCUGACAUAUCACUGAAAUUUCCUAGUAGUAAUUUAACUAAUUCAUAUAUUUUCUCCAUCGUUAUCAGAAAACUCUUAACACCCAAGCAAAGCAUGUAUUGGUACAAAUAUUUUGAAAUGUGGUACAUUUUCAUUCCAGAUCGCUAAAUUUGACAAUCCAAAUUUUUAAUUCAGUAUUUUUCAGAUAACAUAUUUUUUAUUAGUAAAAAGUGGGGAGUCAUCACAUUUUAAUUCUAUAUUCUGCCAUUAAUCUAUUUCACAACAGAAAAUUUCUUCUAGAUUUAGAAACAUGCGUCAACAUCCUCUCCAAAAUAUACAAGUGCUAUCACACUUUUAUCAUCAAUAUAUCUAUUUAAGUAUACCCCUAAUGUUUCACAUUUUAGAGCAUGUAUGGUACUGCAAUCCCAUUCCUGUUCCACAAACCAGAACGUUCCAUGUUCUAGGUAACAUUGAUCUGUUCAAUUUUCUUGUCUUGCUUUGUUCACAUAAUAGAUGCUUCCUUCACUAUGUUUAAUAUAUAUUGAGGUAAGGUCUUUGCUUCUUUGGGAUUACACUGGUGAGGUGAUUAGGGCAUUAACCAACUAAUGACUUACAUUUAAACUCUCUUGGGAAAAAUUAAGAAAAUUAGAAUCGCUUUUCUUAUGAUGAAAUUUCUUUAUUAUAAUUAAUUGGAAGACAAGCUUUGUUACCUGCAAGUGACCUAGCCACAUUCCCUGCUCAUAGAAUUUGAUCAAGAUUCUUGCCUAUUCUUCAAGCACAGAAUUUUGUGAUAUUGAUUUUUGUGUAUUUUAUUGAAAAAAUAAUUUUUGGCAACUAUAUAACCGUGAAUUUAUUUUUCAGUGCUGAUGUUAACAAAUGAGAACCCUGUGCCUUUGUGAAACAAUGUUAGAUGUAAAUGUCAUGUCCUUUUUGGACUUUCAUUCUUAAAUUCUUCUUGCUUGACUUGGGAUGUAGAUGUGGGUUGGUAUUGCAGGUUAAGUAGACAUAAUCACCAAAAUGAAGUUGAUAUUAUGUUUCUUUAUAAGAACCUUUUGAAUUCUAUACUUAGAAUAGUGUUGUGAUAGAAGCAAUUUGGCACAUUAAAAAUGCAUCCAAAUGGAAGUAAGACAUCCAUCCAUGAUACUUGGCGAGCUGAUUCAAUUCCCAUAAGCUGUUCAGAGUUCAGUUAUUCCCUUUCUACGUGAGCUCUUAACAUAAAUACCCUGUUUGCCACUAACCCCCCAGCCCCAGUCACAAAAGAGCAAUGUAUGUGGCAUAUUUAUAGUUUGUUAAGGGCACGAGACUUUCAUUAUGCAUAAUUAUACUUUUAUUGUGUUCACUAUAGGGGCCAUUGGAACCAUUGGAUGUGGAUCAUGGGGGAAACUACGCUUACUGCUGUCGUUAAAAUGUUGGGUUCCUUUAUCUGUUGUUGACUUCAAUGGAUGGAUCUUAGGUAGUGUUUGGGAUCAUGGAAUUUGGAGCUUGGAUUUGUCUUUGUAUGAAAUGCAAGCAAGUCAAUACAAUUUUGUCUUAUGUUUUAUUCAAAUCCACACAAAUUCAAAUCCAAAGUCCAAAUACCAUGCUCUCAAAUGCAGGGUUAGUGUUUUGUUUGCAGUAUAGACAGUUUUUGCAUUUUUUCCCCCCAAGUCAAAAUUAGGUCUUUGGAACCUAAUGAUAUGUACCUAGCCAAGAAAAAAAGAGAUAAAUUCCAUGUUAUUUUAACAGAGAAUUUGAGUGUGUCAACUGUUUGAUUUGUCAAAUGUUUGCCCAAUGAUUGUCUUGAUGUUUUAAAUACCUUUAAUCCUUCCUAUGGAUUUAGUGUUAAUCCAUACCAAAGAAACUAAAUGCUCUUCCUUGCGUGUUGCGUGUGCACGGGUUUUAGUAUUAAACUAAUACUUCAAUUGGAGAAUUUGCAUAGUGUAUUAACAACUUAGGACCAUAUAAUAACAUCAUUGUGUGUAUUUUCCCGUUCAUGGAAUUAGACGAGUACAUUCCAAUUGGAAUGGCGUGAUUCAAGCCUGGAUCACCUGAUGGAUAUCACACGAUUGGAUGUUAUAUGCUGGGUUGUGCUUCCCAUGCACAUAUUUGAUGCGGAGUGGAUGAAUCCUAUUGAAGCAGAAACAACUUUGCUUGCAAAAAGAUACGAGUAGAAUUGAGAAAUCAGUCAUAAGGACUUCACUGGAGUGAAUUACUAUCGAUCUUCGGCUGUGUCUUCUCCAACCUUUGUUGAAUUUGUAAUAUGCUGAUACGAGGAACAUGCAUGGCUAGUGUAUAUAGCGCAGCAGGGAAACUUUCCAUUUGCAUGUGAAUACUAAGAUGAAUUAGUUUUCAGAACAUUAACUUUGAUUUAAUUAAAUGACGGAUCAAUGUUUGCAGGAGAAAGACCGUCUCUGCUUUCCUAAGAAUUUGUUACUCAUCUGAUGGUUCUUGAUUUAGAUGAUGGACCAUUGUUUAUAAUAAAAAAAGAAUUGGCAUCCCA